UACGAAGGGGGCUAGCGUUGCUCGGAAUCACUGGGCGUAAAGGGUGCGUAGGCGGGUCUUUAAGUCAGGGGUGAAAUCCUGGAGCUCAACUCCAGAACUGCCUUUGAUACUGAAGAUCUUGAGUUCGGGAGAGGUGAGUGGAACUGCGAGUGUAGAGGUGAAAUUCGUAGAUAUUCGCAAGAACACCAGUGGCGAAGGCGGCUCACUGGCCCGAUACUGACGCUGAGGCACGAAAGCGUGGGGAGCAAACCGG
rnacentral:rRNA from 1 species